rnacentral:rRNA from 1 species
CGAGCACGCGCGUGUGGCAUAUCAAUAAGCGGAGGAAAAGAAACUAACAAGGAUUCCCUUAGUAACGGCGAGUGAAGCGGGAAGAGCUCAAAUUUGAAAUCUUCAAGGUUCUACCUUGACGAAUUGUAGUUUAUAGAAGUGUUUUCUGCUAGAGAGGUGGUGAAAGUUCUUUGGAAUAGGACAUCAUAGAGGGUGAGAAUCCCGUAUUUGAUCACUUUCUACUAACGUUGCGAUACACUUUCAACGAGUCGGAUUGUUUGGGAAUGCAGUCCAAAAUGGGUGGUAAAUUUCAUCUAAAGCUAAAUAUUGGCGAGAGACCGAUAGCGAACAAGUACCGUGAGGGAAAGAUGCAAAGAACUUUGAAAAGAGAGUUAAACAGUACGUGAAAUUGUCAAAAGGGAAGCGUUUGACACCAGUGUUGUUUUUCCGAAAAUCAAUUACGAAUGUUUUAUUUUUGAGGAGUUAUGACUUCAUCGGCUUGCUCCUUUCUUUAUGAAACUUUCUUAAUGCACUUUUCGGUUAACAAGUCAACAUCAAUUUCUUUUGUUGUAAAAGGGUAUGAGGAAGGUGGCUUUCUUUUCGGAGAAAGUGUUUAUAGCCUUGUGCCUCUGCAAUCGGAGAGAUUGAGGUCUGCAGCGUAGAUCCUUCGGGGUUAGAUACGUUUGUGCUAAGUUAUAGCUUUUCAUAGACAACUUGUUGACUAUGUUUAGUCUUGUAGCUUACUCGCUGACGCCAUUUUACCUACGCUUAGGAUGUUGAUGUGAUACUGCGAGCA